AUUUGACGCUUUCACUGGUAUGCAGAUGUUUUAGGGAUGUGGUCACAAAUGAAAUUUUCCAGAAAGCAGCACACUUUGCCUGGCUAGACAGUGUGGUCAACUAGAAAAAAAAUUUCUCUGGACUACUGUGAUGAGUUUCGACGGAUCUACAGCUUCAGGGAAUGCUCAGAGCUUUUCAAGUCCUAUCCACCAGGGUACAGGGGAAGAGGAAGACGAGGGGAACUGCUGGGCUUUUACUCCGAAGAUCUUUGUACAGGAUUUUGCUCGCAGGACUGUUUUUUUUUUUUUUUUUUUUGCUGCAGGAAAUUAAUUUCUGUAAAACUCAAAACUUACAUGAGAAUUGACAGAUAAACUGGUUUUGAUGUAGUAAUUGAUGCAAAUAAAAGUUAAACUUACAGGUCAAAUUUGAAAAAUUAGAAUAUUGUGCAAAAGUUCAUGUUCAGUAAUUCAAAUUAAAAGGUGAAACUAAUAUGUUUAGUAUGAAUAACUAUAUAUGCAUAUGGCAUGAUUAUAUAUAUACUUUUCAGAGGGCUUACAUUUUUGUAAUAUUCUAAUUUUGUGUUCAUCAAAAUUAUAACUUUUGCACGAUAUUAAAAUUUUUCGAGUUUCACCUGUAUAAUGUUCUAAUGAAAAGCUAUGGCAAAAACAUAGGUUUCACUAAUUGUGCAUAUGGUAAAGUACCUUGGUUCUUUAAGGUUUGCAUAAAUUCCAUUCUGCUGAUGUAUAAGUGCAGUUUGGAGUCUAUAAUAAAGAAAAAGUGACAGUC